AAUAUUUUGUUGAAAGAAAACAAAUCAUUCCUGGAAAGUGUACACGAUUAUGAUGUCAUACAGGACACAGGCAAAACAGUGGUGACAGUGAUUGAUGACACUUGAAGGGAUCUGAAGUAAGAAGUGACUGGGCCAUGAGAGACUUUCUGGACCUGACUUCCUAAUCACUGAGAUUCUCAUAUUCUUUCAGAAAAGAACAAGAAUCCACCAGCAUUACAUAGCCAUCCCAAGUCUUCUAACAUUUCACCACUGAAAGAUGAUUCCACUUGAAUACCCUUGUCACAAAGGUUGACUGAUUCUUUGAGUCCC